CUUUUCGGGGUCCUACAUGGCAGGGCUUCCGACCCCCGGCCCGAGACGGGGCUCGCAGUCCCCAGAGGGGCAGGCUGGAGAAGGAGGAGGUUAGGUGUCUUGAGGAGGGUUGUUGAGCCCAAGGACGCGCCAUCGCUGCGGAGAAGGAGCCGGACCCCUUGGGCGGAGCGCCCAAUGUGUGGUCCCUCACGCCGUCCCGCACCUUGCUUUUUAGGGUUUUUUUUUCCGCUUUCUGAGCCCUUUUAUACCUUACGUUUAGAAGGGGAAAAUCAUCCUCCCACACCUUCUCCCCGACUUUUUGCCCUUUUUGUCUUGAAGUUACCCAAAGGCCUGUAUAUUGUUCUCAAUGUUCUCAAGAAUUACUCUAAUAUAGUUGUUUUUCUGAGGGAGGAUAGAUGGAGAUAACUAUCCUGAUCCCAAUGUCAGUUUUUAAGGCAUUCGCUUCAAGAGACAAGCAGUUUAGAAUCAGGCAGAACUGGAUUGCACAAUUUAUGGGCAGAGCGAGAAAAUGCUGCUGUGAAGACCCAAUUAAAGCUUUCACAUAAAUGAAGCUACAGCUAUCAUGAUUUAGUGCCCCCAAAAGGAAGAACUUCAGUGGACAAGAAAGGACAUUUCUGGGGGUAGUAGAAUGCUUGAGGCCUGGAAUUUAAACCUGAGCCACUAUCUGAAGAAGUUUUAUCAUUUGAUAGUCUGUGAUCCAUUUCAAGUUGAUUUGCUAUCUGGUGUGAGGACACAGGAUACUGUCAGCUCAGCCCUGGGAUGGGCAUCUGCUCAACUUGGCCACAGCACCAGUUCUCCAGGGGCCCAUGUGCUGCUUCAGCUUAAGCCUGGGGGGCAUGACUGUUCUGGGAGGCCCAGGCAUCAUUUCCUGGAAUGUGGGGAGUUGCUUCACCUUAUGCACUGGAGAAGCAUGACUGCUCUGAGCAGCUAAGCUAUUAAAUAAUAGAAGAAAAUGGAAUUGAAUAUGAUGUCAGCAUGGAACAAUCUAAUGAUUCAUUAAGAGUCAACCAUAAUGAUGGUGAAGAGUCAAAAACCAAUGCUCAAGUAUUUGAGCAUCUAACCUGUAUGGACUCCAGAGAUUCUUCCUUUGGACAAAAUGAUUCUCCUACAGUUUUGCCCAUCACUACUCCUGAAGCAAAUAAUUCACUCAUAUCACAGAAUGUACCAGGGCCCCUGACUCAGACACAGACUCUUUCUGCAGAGCAAUUCCAUCUAGUGGACCAAAAUGGGCAAGCUAUUCAAUAUGAACUUCAGUCAUUGGGGGAAUCCAAUUCACAAAUGAUGAUCGUUGCCAGCCCAACAGAAAAUGGACAGGUACUUCGUGUAAUUCCAUCUACCCAGACAGGAAUGGCACAAGUGAUUAUACCUCAGGGGCAGCUUGUGGAUGUGAAUAGUCCUCGGGAUGUCCCUGAAGAGAAACCUAGUGACGGAAACUUAUCAACUGUAAGAGUGGAUACUGUAGCAGACAAUACCAGCAAUUACAUUCUUCAUCCUCAAACAUCCUUCACAUUGCCCAAAAAGUCAGUGACCAGAAUGCUGGAAGAACCCCUUCUGGCACCUCUUCAGCCACUUUCUUCUAACACACCUAUAUGGGCCUGCCGUCUUAGGAGCUGUGAGAAAAUUGGAGAUUCAUACCGUGGCUACUGUGUAAGUGAGACUGAAUUAGAAAGUGUCCUAACAUUUCACAAGCAGCAAACACAGAGUGUUUGGGGGACCCGUCAGUCUCCAAGCCCAGCCAAGCCUGCUACACGCUUGAUGUGGAAAUCCCAGUAUGUCCCGUAUGAUGGAAUCCCAUUUGUUAAUGCAGGGAGUAGAGCUGUGGUAAUGGAGUGUCAGUAUGGGCCAAGAAGAAAAGGUUUCCAGUUAAAAAAAGUCAGUGAGCAGGAAAGCAGGUCUUGUCAGCUCUACAAAGCCACUUGUCCAGCUCGGAUUUACAUUAAAAAGGUACAGAAGUUUCCUGAAUAUAGAGUUCCUACAGACCCCAAAAUUGACAAGAAAAUUAUCAGAAUGGAGCAGGAGAAAGCUUUUAACAUGCUAAAGAAGAACUUGGUAGAUGCUGGUGGUGUUCUUAGGUGGUAUGUACAGUUACCUACACAGCAAGCUCAUCAGUAUCAUGAAUUAGAGACUCCCUGCCUCACUUUGUCACCUUCUCCUUUUCCUGUGUCUUCUCUUGAAGAAGAGGAAACUGCAGUUAGAGAUGAGAAUUGUGCAUUACCCUCACGUUUACAUCCUCAAGUAGCACAUAAGAUUCAAGAAUUAGUAUCACAGGGAAUAGAACAAGUGUAUGCAGUAAGGAAACAGCUAAGAAAAUUUGUGGAAAGGGAACUGUUCAAACCUGAUGAGGUACCUGAAAGACAUAAUUUAUCUUUUUUUCCAACUGUAAAUGAUAUAAAAAAUCACAUCCAUGAGGUACAGAAAUCCUUGAGAAAUGGAGAUACGGUAUAUAACUCAGAGAUUAUUCCGGCAACGCUUCAAUGGACUACAGACAGUGGGAAUAUUCUCAAAGAGACCGUGACAGUUACAUUUGCAGAAGGAAAUUCACCAAGAGAAUCAAUUACCACCAAAGUGGAAACAAAUCAGACUGGGGGUUCUUUGUCUCCUGAGCCAACCCACUUGCUCUCCUCACUCUCCUCAUUUCAGCCCAAAAUAUUUACACAACUACAGGGUUUGCAGUUACAACCAAGGUUCACCUCUCCUGAUGAAUCACCAGCUGUGAUAUCAGUAAAUAACCAGCCGUCCUCUAGUCCUUCAGGACUUCUGGAUACAAUAGGAAGUGCUGUAAUGAAUAAUAAUUCUCUACUGCUUGGUCAAAGUCAUAGCCUUCAAAGAGAUACAUGCUUAACCCAAAACAAUAGUACUGCCUCCACCAUGGGUAACCUUCCAGAACCAGAUCAAAAUCUAGUUGCAAUGGACGAGCUGGUAGAAGUUGGAGAUGUUGAGGAUACAGGGAAUCUGGAAGGAACUGUUCAUCGGAUUCUGUUGGGAGAUGUGCAGACUAUUCCAAUACAGAUUAUAGACAACCACUCAGCUCUUAUUGAAGAAAAUCCAGAAAGUACCAUUUCUGUGAGCCAAGUUAAGCAAGAGCCCAAAGAACCAGCAUUGUCUAUGGAAGCAAAAAAAAUUGUGGACUAUAAGAAAUUAUCUGCUACAUAAAUUAUUGAAGCUUUUCAGAACUUACAACUCUGGUGACUUCUGAUGUCUUAGAAAAGAAGGUGAAUAUAGUCAAAGCAUGGCAUUGAGAUAAUUGGAAUGAAGACCAGUUUGAUGAGAAGCUUUUAUUUAAAACUGAUAUAUUUGUUGCCAGUUCCAUAUUUUUACCUUCCUUAAGAGAUGUUUUACUCUUCUUAUUUUGUAUAAUUUUUAUGCUCUUUGAUUAUCUAAUAAGGCCAGUAUUUCAAAAGUUGUUUUGAAUUUAUCCACAGUAAUAUAGUCUGAACACAAAUAGUUAACUUAUCCUUGGAAAUAUUCAAUUUUGUUUAUUACAAAACAGAAAAGAACAACAGCAACAAAAACAUUGUGUGAAUGUAUGUUUGUAUGUGUGUAUGUAUAUCAUGAAUUUUUUUUAAGUUCUGAAAGAACUUGUUCUCUCUUUAAAGUUGUGAAGAAAUUUUUAAUUGCCAGACAGGUAAGAAAAUGUUUAUAAUCUAUCUCAUUAAGAAAGAUGAAGUAUUAGAUUUUACAUCAUAACACAAAGUCCAGCAGCUACAUCUGUGGAAACUGUGCAGUUGCAUUUUAGCCUCUUCCCUUCUAAUUUUUGUACUUUUAACUACAAACCAAUAGUAUACUAAUGGUUAUCUAAUAGAAAUUUAAAGUGUCUUGGUAAGUACUGAGAAUUUUUACUUGAAUUAAUCAGAUAAGCAACAGAAGUCAACAUAUGUAGCAUGAAUUUGUGCUAUAUUAGAAGUAAAACACUAUAGGCAGAAAUAUGUAGAAAUUGAGAGAAUUGAAAAAGAAUAAUAGAAUUCCUUGGUGUUUACAGAUAAUUUGGGAAACUUUUUGAUGACAGCAGAGGAUUUUUUUCCCCCUUAUUUUGUAAUGAAGAUCCAGAGCUGGUUAAAAGAUAAUUUGAUUUGUAGUUACAUUUUUCUAUGCCAGAGCUCUUACUGAAUUGAUGAUAUUAGGAUUUCUAGUAUUUUAAGGUAGAAACUGGAGCUAUCAGUAUUUUCAUGUAAGUAUUUCAAUGAGUAGCUCUUUAAAAAUGGUUUCUAAAUUAGAUUUUAAAAAUUCACUGUCAUCUAAAUGCAUGUUUAGUCACAAUGUAUCAGUAUUGUGUUUAAAGGUGCUCAGCAUCACUGUUUGAAAACUAUGUUUACAUAUUUAAAAUGUUUAAUUAUUCUGAAAUGUAUAGGGUAUUAAAUACAAGCUCCUAAAAUCUUCAGUAUCUAUAUUGGCUUUCUCUAACAGCUCUACAGCAAAGUUUGACAUUUUUUUUUGUGUGUCAUGUAUUGUAAGUUGUAAUAUCUGUAGGAGUGAGUUGGACAUUCUAAAUUAGCAGUAAGAAAUUCACAAUUACAGCUCAGCUUGUUUAUUCAUUAUAGUUUUCACAUUCCCAACUUCCAAGUGAACUUUAUAUAUACUACAGUGAAUUAUAGAUAAAUACAGCCAUGGUGGACCUUUCCCUCAAUAGCGAUUUUCUGUACAAACAGUUAGUAUACUUAAAAGGAAAAGCUUUUAUAUCUUAUGCAAGGUAAAUGUUUCCUAAACGUCACAAAAGUGAUAGAAAACAUAGCUUUUGGGAUCUGGUCCUGCAUCAGAGUUUCUAAUUCUGAGACCCACCAGCUUGUGUUUCAUCUUCUUUAUAUCCUGUCAGAAUACAUACUUAAUCAUGUGGGUAUGAGAAAGAUGUUGUUUAACUUGUACCAGGUUUAAAAAAAGAGGUUUAAAAAAUGUGUGUGCAUAUAUAUAUAUAUGUAUAUAUAUAUAGCAACUUGAUGUAUAGUGUCCUUGUUAUGUAUUUUUUUCAUUAAAAAUCCUGUUUUUUUUUCUUAUACUUGUUAGUUUUCUUUUUAUGUUUUUCUUAGAGAUAGUGGCAAUUUUGUUCAUCUUGAAGAUGCUGAAUAAACACUUGAAUACC